rnacentral:rRNA from 1 species
GAUGAACGCUGGCGGCGUGCCUAAUACAUGCAAGUCGAGCGAACAGAUGAGGAGCUUGCUCCUCUGACGUUAGCGGCGGACGGGUGAGUAACACGUGGAUAACCUCCCUAUCAGACUUGGAUAACUUCGGGAAACCGGAGCUAAUACCGGAUAAUAUAUUGAACCGCAUGGUUCAAUAGUGAAAGACGGUUUUGCUUUCACUUAUAGAUGGGUCCGCGCCGUAUUAGCUAGUUGGUAAGGUAACGGCUUACCAAGGCAACGAUGCGUAGCCGACCUGAGAGGGGGAUCGGCCACCAUGGAACUGAGACACGGUCCAGACGCCUACGGGAGGCAGCAGUAGGGAAUCUUCCGCAAUGGGCGAAAGCCUGACGGAGCAACGCCGCGUGAGUGAUGAAGGUCUUCGGAUCGUAAAACUCUGUUAUUAGGGAAGAACAAAUGUGUAAGUAACUAUGCACGUCUUGACGGUACCUAAUCAGAAAGCCACGGCUAACUACGUG